rnacentral:rRNA from 1 species
GAUCAUGGCUCAGGACGAACGCUGGCGGCAUGCCUAACACAUGCAAGUCGAACGGGGUUUAAUUGAAAGUUUACUUUCAAUUAAACCUAGUGGCGGACGGGUGAGUAACGCGUGGAUAAUCUGCCUAUUAGUCUGGGAUAACUCCGGGGAACCGGAGCUAAUACCGGAUAACAUUUUUCUCGCAUGGAGAGAAAUUAAAAGGGUUUCCGCUAAUAGAUGAAUCCGCGUCCCAUUAGCUAGUUGGUGGGGUAAAGGCCUACCAAGGCGACGAUGGGUAGCCGGCCUGAGAGGGUGAACGGCCACACUGGGACUGAGACACGGCCCAGACUCCUACGGGAGGCAGCAGUGGGGAAUAUUCCGCCAAUGGGGGAAACCCUGACGGAGCAAUGCCGCGUGAGGGACGAAGGCCUUCGGGUUGUAAACCUUUGUUUUAUGGGAAGAUAGUGACGGUACCAUAAGAGGAAGCCCCGGCUAACUACGUGCCAGCAGCGGC